rnacentral:lncRNA from 1 species
CCAGCAUCUGCAUAUUUUACAUAAAGAGAAUAGCUCAUUAAUUGUUCUCCAUGAUUGACUUUGUUCUCAUUUGAAGAGGUUUUGUGACUGGUGUAUUCUGAUGUUGCAGAGUAUAAGGUAGGUCAUAAAGCAUAUGCUGAGACUUGUUGAACAUAGGCUAGAGGGUCUAUAGGAGGAAAGUGGAAGAGUGAAUGACAAACCUCCAUUUUAAUUUGGGCCAUUGGUUUGUUCUCUUGGGUCUUAGGAUAGGAGAAGCAGCAUGUUGAGUAUGAGACCCAAGAUGAGAUAUGAGAGUCAUAGUUCAGAAAAGUCCAAGUUUAAUGAAGUGAGUAGUAUUUCUUCUGGUUG